rnacentral:rRNA from 1 species
CCAGACUCCUACGGGAGGCAGCAGUGGGGAAUAUUGCACAAUGGGGGAAACCCUGAUGCAGCGACGCCGCGUGAGUGAAGAAGUAAUUCGUUAUGUAAAGCUCUAUCAGCAGGGAAGAAAAUGACGGUACCUGAGUAAGAAGCCCCGGCUAACUACGUGCCAGCAGCCGCGGUAAUACGUAGGGGGCAAGCGUUAUCCGGAUUUACUGGGUGUAAAGGGAGCGUAGACGGCAGUGCAAGUCUGGAGUGAAAGGCGGGGGCUCAACCCCCGGACUGCUCUGGAAACUGCCGGGCUGGAGUGUCGGAGGGGCAGGCGGAAUUCCUAGUGUAGCGGUGAAAUGCGUAGAUAUUAGGAGGAACACCGGUGGCGAAGGCGGCCUGCUGGACGACGACUGACGCUGAGGCUCGAAAGCGUGGGGAGCAAACAGGAUUAGAUACCCGGGUAC